CCCUCCCUCUCCUUCUCCCUCCCUCCCUGCCUCCCCCUCUCCCUCCCUCUCUACACUUCACGCCCCGCCUGUCUCGCAUCUGACUGUCCUUCAUUCGUUCUUUUUACAGCGUCAACAACAUAAUAAUAAACAGAAGGUGAGGAGUAUUUGUGUAUAUAUGCUUGUGUUCUUCUUCUUCGUCUCCCUUUAAAAGAACAGCGUCAGUCCAGUAAGAAGAAGAAGAAAUAUAUAUAAGGUUAAAUGUAUAGUUGUGUGUUUUAAGUAAUGGACGGUUAGAAGUAGUUGAAGAGGAAGAAGGAAGGAAGGAAGGAGAGGUAAGGAAAGGAAAGAAAAAGAAAGGGAAAUGAAAAGGUAGAAGCGGCAUAUAGAAGAAGGAAAGAAGGAAUGAAAGAAAGGAGAAAGAAGAAUGAAAAAGUAGAAGAAGGAAAGAGAGAAUCAAUGAAUGAGAGAAAGAAAAGAAGGAAAAUGAAAAAUGAAAACGUAGAAGCGUCAUACAGAAGAAGGAAAGAAUGAAUGAAUGAAAGAAAGAAAAAAUAGAAAGAAAGAGAGAUGGAAAAGCAGAUUCAUUAUACAGAAGAAGGAAAGAAUGGGAGAAAGUAUGAAUGAAAAAGAAAGAAAAUGAAGGAAAAAUGAAAGAGUGAAUUCGUCAUAUAUAACAACUGGUCCUUCCCUCUCUCUCCCUCUCUCUCCAUGAAUGUUUAGACAAAGAAAAGAAAGAAGAAAAGGGAAAGUAAAAAAGUAACCUUGACAUCAAACACAACUGUGCUAACUCAUGCGCGUGUGUGUCAUUUGUAUUCACGGGAAGUUGUUAAAGUCUCAAGUGACUCAAAAACACUAUUACUCACUAACACACACAAAAAAGUAAGUAAACAGAGAGAGAAACAAACAGAGAAAGAAAUAGAGGAUAAGAAAGUUAAUUCGUCAAACACACCAACUGCUACUUCAUUCUCUCUUGUGUCAUUUGCGUGAGGUUGUUAAGGUUUCAUGUUACGCGGAGACACUUUUGCUCGCUAACACAAAAGUAAGUAAAGAGAGAGAGAAAGAAAGAAA